CUACGUGCCAGCAGCCGCGGUAAUACGUAGGUGGCAAGCGUUGUCCGGAAUUAUUGGGCGUAAAGCGCGCGCAGGCGGAUUGGUCAGUCUGUCUUAAAAGUUCGGGGCUUAACCCCGUGAUGGGAUGGAAACUGCCAAUCUAGAGUAUCGGAGAGGAAAGUGGAAUUCCUAGUGUAGCGGUGAAAUGCGUAGAUAUUAGGAAGAACACCAGUGGCGAAGGCGACUUUCUGGACGAAAACUGACGCUGAGGCGCGAAAGCCAGGGGAGCGAACGGGAUUAGAUACCCCGGUAGUCCUGGCCGUAAACGAUGGGUACUAGGUGUAGGAGGUAUCGACCCCUUCUGUGCCGGAGUUAACGCAAUAAGUACCCCGCCUGGGGAGUACGACCGCAAGGUUGAAACUCAAAGGAAUUGACGGGGGCCCGCACAAGCGGUGGAGUAUGUGGUUUAAUUCGACGCAACGCGAAGAACCUUACCAAGUCUUGACAU
rnacentral:rRNA from 1 species